rnacentral:rRNA from 1 species
UACGUAGGGUGCGAGCGUUAAUCGGAAUUACUGGGCGUAAAGCGUGCGCAGGCGGUUUUGUAAGCCAGAUGUGAAAUCCCCGGGCUUAACCUGGGAAUGGCAUUUGGGACUGCAAGGCUUGAGUGCGGCAGAGGAGACUGGAAUUCCUGGUGUAGCAGUGAAAUGCGUAGAUAUCGGGAGGAACACCGAUGGCGAAGGCAGGUCUCUGGGCAUUAACUGACGCUGAGGAGCGAAAGCAUGGGGAGCGAACAGG